CAAAACUAUACACACAGUCAUAUUUAUAUCACACAUGUCCUAUACUUUCCGGCUUCACGUAUUGAGACAGAUUAUUACUGCACGAUUUGCAUAGCGUCUAGACGCCGACUGACCCACUUGACCAGCGCGACGUGUCCAUCGCUGACCAGUGCUGGGCAUUACCCAACUCAGAGGUCGGUUACCGCUACACGCAAAGGGGUGACUUAACGCUGUUGUCUACUUAAUCAGGUUCGUCAAUUUGCAAGUCAUAAGAAAUGGCUGGGGCUUCCUGCACUGACAUAAUGGCGGAACUAUUUGCUACCGCCGAUCGUUUGCAACACCUUCUCGGGCGACAGGAGCUUUUGCAGGCGGAUCUACUCUAUGGUGACAGGGGUAGUACAUUCAGGGGACGUGGAAGUCCUCGCCCAGACGAUGUUCAGACGUUGGUGAAUCACAUCUCCACAGUCCUCGUCCGUCUGACCGGAACGUACCGGCUCAACUAUCGUCUGGUCGGAUCACGUGACCGUCUCACGUCUGCUCCCCGUUCGUACAUCCACCGCCGCUUUCCGGUCCAGGAGACUUUGGAUGGAUCACGUGGUACAAUGAGGCUGGCUGUCAUCUGAUUGGCUGGGUGGAUGACGUCAUUAUUCAUAUAUAUAUAUGCAAAUUUGCGAAAACCAGGACAAAAUGUAUAUGGGAAAAAUGCAGCUGGGGAAAGGGUUAAUGAUGAGUUCAUCCGUUUUGGCUGGCGAGAGAGAUCGACAUAAAUAGAAGAUAUUAUAUGAGUGACCGUGUCACACUAUGUUUAGGACACGAGUGCCUGAACGGUAUUUCCCGAGUGGGAGCGAGUGUUGUGUCGUAAACAUAGUAUGAUAUAGGCACGAAUAUAAUAUUCUAUUUAUUACCGAAGUCGUUAAAUUGAGGAAAAUAAACCCUUAUCUACUUUCAAACUUAGGCUGGCUACUCGCCGUCUCCGUAUGUAGAACGCAACGUCAUAGAAGAAACGUGACGUCAUGGCAUUGUUCAUGACCUCACGUCACCAUGACAAAGUGAUAUUUUGCCCUUGGGCAUCGUAUUAAAAAUAUGAACCCUGAUAUUUUCGCCCUCGUAGGUAAUAACUAUAAAUCGAACAUGAAUGGCAAGUAAUCACAUGUGCCUUUAAGAGAAAUAUGUCAAUAUCAGGAAACACACACAGCAUAAGAUCAU